ensembl:snoRNA
ACCCCAGGUGACUUCCACUCCCAUAGGUCAAGCAGUUCCCCUCUCUGGAAAGUAGCAACUUGCAAUAAAAUCUGGCAGGCUAAAGGUUUCUAGGGUUCAGGAGACGCUUAUUUCCAUUGCCUUCUUGGGUUGCUUACAUGU